GCUCUGUACGCGGCCCGGCGCCCGGAAGGUUCUCGGCGCGGCGAGGGGCGAGCCGUGAAAUGAGCCCGGGCAGCGCAGGAGCUGAGGGCUCUCAGUGCUUUCCUCUCCUCCUGUCCCACCGACUCCAGCGACGAUGCCCGCCUGCGCCUCCGCAGCCGAGGAAGAACCGGGCAGAAAAGGAGAGCCCCGGCUGACACCGCCCGUCCGCUGCCACGAGCAGCUGCUGCCGCCCUGCCAGCCCCUGCUGCAGCAGCAGGCAGUGACACGUGGCGGCUCCUGGCACCCUGCCCGCUGCCGCCACCCACCACCCGCAUCGCGCCGGUGUCUCUGGUGUUCUCACCGUGCCACCUGCGGCCUCUCAUGGUGCCCAGCCGAGCGCCUUGCCCACCACCACCACGGCCGCUUGCCCUCUUUCCACCCUGGUGGCUGCCCGUGCCGGCCCUGCGGGCUCCCUGGGCUGCCCUGCCUGCCCUUCCCACCCCUGGCUGGCAGUGCCCAUGCUGGCAGUGCCAGUGGUGGUGGCAGCCCCCAGCAGCCCUGCACUGCCCCGCUUGCCAGCGUGCAGGAAAUGGGCUGGCAGCCCAGUACAGGCUCUGUGAGGGACACGAGGAGAGCAGCCCCAGCAGGGAUCAGGGGCCCACAGAAGUAGAUGAGGAAACAGAUGAUAGCGAGAUAGAUGUUGUAUAGAUAGUGGGUAGCAAGAUAGCUGAUAUUGAGAUAGGUAGUUGGUAGCAAAACAGUUGAUAGAGAACUGAUAGUGAGAUAGAUAGCUGUUGGUGAUACAGGUAGCGGAUAGAUAGCAGAUAGCAAGAUGGGUCAUUUAUAGAAAGUUGGUUUGUAGAUAGCAAGAUCCUUAGUGGAGAGCAAAAUCGUUCCUAGUGAGAUAGAUAGUUAUGUCAGAGCCAGAUAGCGGAUGCGGAGAUAGUGGAUAAAAACAUAGUGGAUAGUGAGAUAGUCGAUAGAUAGAGUGUACAUAACAAUACAGAAAGUUGAGAGUGAUAUCAAAAGUUGAUAACAGAAACACCUUUUGUCUCUGCUGCAGAUGAGCUGCCUGAGUCCUGGGACACCACUCUCCCCUCCAGUGACUGAUGAAGAGCAACGCCUGAUGCUGCCCCAGCACCGGCAGAAGAACAGCAGGUCUGGAAACACCUGUCCUGCCAGAAGAGCAUCCUGGAGAAGAAGACGGGCCUUCUGCUCAGAGGAAGAUGCGCUGCUCGAGUCCUUGGAUGUCCCUUUGCCUCCUCCUCCAGAGUUCGAGGCAGGAACAACGCCUGGUGCUGCCCCAGCGCCGGCAGAAGAACAGCGGCUCCUGGACGGACGUGACCGGCCGGAAGAUCGUCGGG